rnacentral:lncRNA from 1 species
UCACCACCUGAACAAGCCCCAGGAUCUACAAUCAAUCCACUGCCCUGUGCAAUUUUUCAGUAUCCCUGAUUCACACUCAUGUACUUUUGACUCUUCCCACGGUUUAAAUUCCGUCAUUAAUCAUUAUAGCCAUUUCCUCACAUACACCCUCAACACCCUUUCCCCUUUCCUGUGGUGCUUACUUGCUGGGCAGAAUUUUGAUCCUGGUGAAGUCCAACUCUCCUCCUACUUUGCAUCAUCACAGCAGUUCUUGACACAAAUAAAAGCACGCAUACAGGCACAAACAAAAAUCUCUGCAUCUCUCUGUCCCUC